UACGUAGGGUGCAAGCGUUAAUCGGAAUUACUGGGCGUAAAGCGUGCGCAGGCGGUUGUGUAAGACAGAUGUGAAAUCCCCGGGCUCAACCUGGGAACUGCAUUUGUGACUGCACAGCUGGAGUGCGGCAGAGGGGGAUGGAAUUCCGCGUGUAGCAGUGAAAUGCGUAGAUAUGCGGAGGAACACCGAUGGCGAAGGCAAUCCCCUGGGCCUGCACUGACACUGAAGCACGAAAGCGUGGGGAGCAAACAGG
rnacentral:rRNA from 1 species